rnacentral:rRNA from 1 species
AGUGAACGCUGGCGGUAGGCCUAACACAUGCAAGUCGAACGGCAGCACAGUAAGAGCUUGCUCUUACGGGUGGCGAGUGGCGGACGGGUGAGGAAUACAUCGGAAUCUACUUUUUCGUGGGGGAUAACGUAGGGAAACUUACGCUAAUACCGCAUACGACCUACGGGUGAAAGCAGGGGAUCUUCUGACCUUGCGCGAUUGAAUGAGCCGAUGUCGGAUUAGCUAGUUGGCGGGGUAAAGGCCCACCAAGGCGACGAUCCGUAGCUGGUCUGAGAGGAUGAUCAGCCACACUGGAACUGGAACACGGUCCAGACUCCUACGGGAGGCAGCAGUGGGGAAUAUUGGACAAUGGGCGCAAGCCUGAUCCAGCCAUACCGCGUGGGUGAAGAAGGCCUUCGGGUUGUAAAGCCCUUUUGUUGGGAAAGAAAAGCAGCAGGUUAAUACCCCGCUGUUCUGACGGUACCCAAAGAAUAAGCACCGGCUAACUUCGUG